rnacentral:lncRNA from 1 species
CUCUAGUUCCGCUGUUACGACAUAAUUUCAACACAUCAAACCCAUAUCUUAUACUAUCAACAAACCAUAUUUUUCGAACAUAUUACUACUAAUUAUCUUUGCAUUUUUUUCAACUAACACCCAAGAGAGACGAAACCAAAGCAUAUAUAUUUAAAAGAACAUUUCCUCAUACAGAUACGCGAAAUAUUCAACACUUAAGAUCUAAAGAUUGCAUCAGGGAGAAAACGGCCCUGCAAUUGCAUAUUCAUACUGAGGCUAAUUCAAACAAAUAAAUCCAAACAUUUCAUGCAACAGAGAAUGACAAAGUUGACGGAAGUACACUAUUAAGCAAAACAGAGUACGAGAAAUUGAGGAACCAAACCUCAAAAGUGAAUCAGAAUAUUAAUGGCGAGGUAGCGUUGAACUCAAAAACGCGACGAACCAUGGACGGACCUCGACGCACCGGACCUCGACGGACCUCUGACCGGAAACGGAAUUACGUCCAGGCCUCUAGCUCACCGGAACUGCGACAACAUGCAACAACAGUAGUAGCUGCUCGUGGGUGUCGCUGCUUAGGAUUCAAUAGGGGGUCUUCGACACUCUUUUUUUGAUUUUUUAUUGAGGAAGGUGUUGGUUAAGGUGAGGGCUGAAGUUCAGUGGUCAUUUGGGUGGGGGGAUGU